rnacentral:rRNA from 1 species
UACGAAGGGGGCUAGCGUUGCUCGGAAUCACUGGGCGUAAAGCGCACGUAGGCGGCUUUCUAAGUCAGGGGUGAAAUCCUGGAGCUCAACUCCAGAACUGCCUUUGAUACUGGAGAGCUCGAGUCCGGAAGAGGUGAGUGGAACUCCGAGCGUAGAGGUGAAAUUCGUAGAUAUUCGCAAGAACACCAGUGGCGAAGGCGGCUCACUGGCCCGAUACUGACGCUGAGGCACGAAAGCGUGGGGAGCAAACAGG